UACGUAGGGUGCGAGCGUUAAUCGGAAUUACUGGGCGUAAAGCGUGCGUAGACGGUUACGUAAGUCGGGUGUGAAAGCCCCGGGCUCAACCUGGGAAUUGCAUUCGAGACUGUGUAGCUAGGGUGCGGAAGAGGGAAGCGGAAUUUCCGGUGUAGCGGUGAAAUGCGUAGAUAUCAGGAGGAACACCGAUUGCGAAGGCAGCUCGCUGGGACGUUACUGACGCUGAGACGCGAAAGCGUGGGGAGCAAACAGG
rnacentral:rRNA from 1 species